rnacentral:rRNA from 1 species
GACGAACGCUGGCGGCGUGCUUAACACAUGCAAGUCGAACGGAAAGGCCCUGCUUUUGUGGGGUGCUCGAGUGGCGAACGGGUGAGUAACACGUGAGUAACCUGCCCUUGACUUUGGGAUAACUUCAGGAAACUGGGGCUAAUACCGGAUAGGAGCUCCUGCUGCAUGGUGGGGGUUGGAAAGUUUCGGCGGUUGGGGAUGGACUCGCGGCUUAUCAGCUUGUUGGUGGGGUAGUGGCUUACCAAGGCUUUGACGGGUAGCCGGCCUGGGAGGGUGACCGGCCACAUUGGGACUGAGAUACGGCCCAGACUCCUACGGUAGGCAACAGUGGAGAAUAUUACACAAUGGGCGGAAGCCUGAUGCAGCAACGCCGCGUGCGGGAUGACGGCCUUCGGGUUGUAAACCGCUUUCGCCUGUGACGAAGCGUGAGUGACGGUAAUGGGUAAAGAAGCACCGGCUAACUAUGUG